AGUGAACGCUGGCGGUAGGCCUAACACAUGCAAGUCGAACGGCAGCACAGUAAGAGCUUGCUCUUACGGGUGGCGAGUGGCGGACGGGUGAGGAAUACAUCGGAAUCUACUUUUUCGUGGGGGAUAACGUAGGGAAACUUACGCUAAUACCGCAUACGACCUACGGGUGAAAGCAGGGGAUCUUCGGACCUUGCGCGAUUGAAUGAGCCGAUGUCGGAUUAGCUAGUUGGCGGGGUAAAGGCCCACCAAGGCGACGAUCCGUAGCUGGUCUGAGAGGAUGAUCAGCCACACUGGAACUGAGACACGGUCCAGACUCCUACGGGAGGCAGCAGUGGGGAAUAUUGGACAAUGGGCGCAAGCCUGAUCCAGCCAUACCGCGUGGGUGAAGAAGGCCUUCGGGUUGUAAAGCCCUUUUGUUGGGAAAGAAAAGCAGCAGGUUAAUACCCCGCUGUUCGGACGGUACCCAAAGAGUAAGCACCGGCUAACUUCGU
rnacentral:rRNA from 1 species